GAUGAACGCUGGCGGCGUGCCUAAUACAUGCAAGUCGAGCGAACAGACGAGGAGCUUGCUCCUCUGACGUUAGCGGCGGACGGGUGAGUAACACGUGGAUAACCUACCUAUAAGACUGGGAUAACUUCGUGAAACCGGAGCUAAUACCGGAUAAUAUAUUGAACCGCAUGGUUCAAUAGUGAAAGACGGUUUUGCUGUCACUUAUAGAUGGAUCCGCGCCGCAUUAGCUAGUUGGUAAGGUAACGGCUUACCAAGGCAACGAUGCGUAGCCGAUCUGAGAGGGUCAUUGGCCACACUGAAACUUUCACACGUUCCAGACGCUGACGGGAGGCAGCAGUAGGGAAUCUUCCACAAUGGUCGAAAGCCUGACGGAGCAACGCCGCGCGAGGGAUGAAGGUUUUCGGAUCGUAAAACUCUGUUAUUAGGGAAGAACAAAUGUUUAAGUAACUAUGCACGUCUUGACGGUACCUAAUCAGAAAGACACGGCUAACUACGUG
rnacentral:rRNA from 1 species